UGGGGAAUCUUCCGCAGUGGGCGAAAGCCUGAUGGAGCAAUGCCGCGUGGAGGUGGAAGGCCUACGGGUCGUCAACUUCUUUUCUCGGAGAAGAAACAAUGACGGUAUCUGAGGAAUAAGCAUCGGCUAACUCUGUGCCAG
rnacentral:rRNA from 1 species